rnacentral:rRNA from 1 species
GCGCAGCAGUCGCGAAAACUCCGCAAUACGCGAAAGCGUGACGGGGCUACCUCGAGUGUCGUCCGCUGAGGACGACUUUUCCACGCUGUAAGGAGGCGUGGGAAUAAGGAGAGGGCAAGUCUGGUGUCAGCCGCCGCGGUAAUACCAGCUCUCCGAGUGGUAGGGACGAUUAUUGGGCUUAAAGCGUCCGUAGCCGGCUCAGCAAGUCUCCCGUUAAAUCCAACGAUUCAAUCGUUGGACUGCGGGAGAUACUGUUGAGCUAGGAGGCGGGAGAGGCCGACGGUAUUCCCGGAGUAGGGGUGAAAUCCGUUGAUCCCGGGAGGACCACCAGUGGCGAAGGCGGCUGGCUUGAACACGCCUGACGGUGAGGGACGAAAGCUGGGGGAGCGAAUCGGAUUAGAUACCCGGGUAGUCC